AGCCAAUGAUGCGAUUCACAUACGUAUUUACCAUAGACUGUAUAUAAUGGUAUUUACGCAGCUAAUCAAUGUCAGGCGUCCUUAUGUGCAGCCACCGUUGUUCUCAUAGAUAUGAAUGAGUAAAUAGGACACGCCCCUUUGAGCUGCGUGCUACAGCGAGGCUAAGCUAGUGGGGCAAAGUUUCAGUGCAUUCCGUUGAUGUAGACGGCGUGAAAACGGAAACAAGUAUGCCGUCUCACUGUGCUGCAUACAAUUACACACUACGUCGUACGAUUGAGACAAGGAAACUUGGAAUGGCUUUUCAUAGGUUUCCCAGAGACUAUGGGUUGAGGAGGAAUUGGAAGUUUGUCGGCUUAGACCUGGUGUCAUUCCAUCAGUGUUAAACUUCCCGGCUCAUCUUUGAAGAGUAUGUGCCAGAAAGACCACGACCAAGCAGCCUUGAGAUCUUAGGUAGCGUCUCCCUGAGGUCCCUCUCUAUCUCCCCACACAUCCACCAACCACUGGAACACAUCUCCAAAGUUCUGCUGGACCAGCUCAGCUUCCCCUCAGAAGAAGUGCCGCCACCUGCCAGAUGAAGGAGCCUUUUGAGAGGCAGCUGGUAUCGUGAUUGGACUGUACUUUGGUCUGUUCCAAUCCAGCUUCAGCUCCAGAGACGGCAGGCGGAACGAGUCAACGGAGGCCGGGUGGACGAAGGCAUGCAGCUGAGUACAAUCCAGAAAACAACAGAGGAGGAGUGCAGUGGCCCAGGGCAGAACAAACAGAGUAGCAUCGUAUGUCUCUUAGAAAACAUCAUAGUAUAGCCUUUGGUAUGAAAAAACGCCAUCAUAUAUUGUACAAAUAACAAGUCAAAGGAAAGAGACAUACAUUGUAGAAUUGUAGUAAUUGUGGGCUGACUGAUUUACUGAUUAUCAGUAUUUUAUUUUUUACUGAUUUACGGUAAUAAAUACAUAUAAAAAUGCUGCUA